rnacentral:rRNA from 1 species
CCUACGGGUGGCUGCAGUGAGGAAUAUUGGUCAAUGGACGAGACUCUGAACCAGCAACGUCGCGUGAAUGAUGACUGCCUUAUGGGUUGAAAGUUCUUUUUUUAAAGGAAUAAAACGUGGCACUUGUCCAUUAUUGCACGUCCUUUAACAACAUGGCAGCGCUAACUAUGAGCCAGCGGCCGCGGUAAUACGGAGGAGCCGAGCGUUAUCCGGAUUUAUUGGGUUUAAAGGUAGCGUAGAUGUGUUGUUAAGUCAGUUGUGAAAGUUUGCGGCUCAACCGUAAAAUUGCAUUUGAGACUGGCAGUCUUGAGUACAGUUGAGGUAGGCGGAAUUCGUGGUGUAGCGGUGAAAUGCUUAGAUAUCACGAAGAACCCCGAUUGCGAAGGCAGCUUACUAGACUGUAACUGACACUGAGGCUCGAAAGUGUGGGUAUCAAACAGGAUUAGAUACCCGUGUAGUC